rnacentral:lncRNA from 1 species
GGAGCUUAUUAUACUCAGACACUGUCAGGAACAAUAAAUGGGCUACAAGAGAAAUAAAACCUGCAAGAAUCCAACAAAAAGGGAACUCGCUAAUUAUUUCAGGUGCAACAACAAGUAUACACAACAAGUUGCUAGAGAAAAGCAUGGUCAGAAAUUUCCCCAGGGAGAAUCCAGAUAUCACAUUGUCAGAAAUUCGCCGAUGGGCUACAAACACUUGGAAGCACAACCAUGGCAUCAACAUUUACGACAUGGGGCAAAAUCAAUUUCUCUUCGAGUUCCCCAACAAAACUGACGCAGAUCACAUUGUCAGAGGUAAUUGGUUCUGGAAAUCUCACAAAAUCAUUCUACAGUGGUGGUCACCGACUUCAAACUCCAUAGAUGAAAGGCUGGACCAGGUCUGGAUCAGAAUAGUAGGAUUACCCCUCAAAUUGUGGUCUCAGAAAGUUUUACGUGAGGUUGGUAACCUGUGUGGUGGGUGGAUACAAACUGAAAAAAUAACAGAGUUGCGAAAUCACCUGAAGUGGGCAAGGAUUAAGGUGAAAGGAGAUGGCGAUUCAGUCCCAAAAUCAAAGUCCAAAUCUGGGUUGAGGCUCCAGCAAGAGUGAUUUCUGAUGAACGUGAAGAAGCACUUUCAAAGACCCUCUGAAGAAGAGACCAAGAGACCAAAUAUAAAGGGGAUAGAGGACAGCUAGGGUUUACAGAAGUGUCAGGACAAGUGGGUCCCUCUGAUCACUCAGCUAUUUUGAAUUUGCCAGCUAUUCCAGCAUGUGAGCCUGCACGUGAGGCUGAGGUUAAUUUAAUUGCCCCUCAAAAGAAAAGUAGGCCAGCAAACAAGGGGAGCAAUAAAUUGGGCCCAGAC